rfam:Drosophila persimilis strain MSH-3 cont1.005648, whole genome shotgun sequence.
CCAGUCAAUGUCAAGUGUUGCCCCGGACUGACUUACUACAAAAGUUAAUUGCACUGCACGCGCACGCCAAGAGGCU